GAAUUUGGUUAGUCAUAGAACACAUUUACUGGCAUAAAGUAAUGCUGAGUUCCACAGAACAGCGGUUUAGAAUCGAUUUUGCAUAAGCUUGUUUACUUUUUUUGGGUUAGGUUCUCUUGCAGGAUGUCUUGGAACGCAUGCUAAGGAAAUUGCUUUAUUCCCCGAGGAUCGGCCUCAGGUUGAGGUUUACGUGGGUUAAGGAUCAACGUGGCUGCGGCUUGGCACUGACCUGCAGUUUUCUGGUCUGAAGGUCAUUCCCUUCAAGCGGCAGAUGCGUGGGCUGUUCCUGCACUGGCAGUGGCACUCUUCUGGGACGGAGAGGGGACUCAAGGGCAUGCAUUUGCACUCGGUGGGGUUCCACACCAGCCCAAGAGUGCAGGGAACAUCUGGAGGGGAACAUCUGGACAUGGGAGAGAAUGCGUGCAGGCUGAGAUGUGGGUGUAGCUGGUGUUGGUGCACUCCUGGCCCUCGUUGUAACAACAGCCCCCGCAGCGAUGUACGGAGACACAGCGUGGCACGAAGAAGUGACUGGUGCUCUCCACAUACUCCUUUGCCACCUCCACGCACACCUCACGCGGCUGGCAGGCAGUGAGCUGCAUCUCCUUGACGAUCACUGGCAACCAAGAGCAGAGUGACGGGUAGAGACAGCGGACAGCAUUCUCCACCACCCAGCGAGGCAUGAGGCUCGGAUGCCUCUCGGGGAAACCUGCCAGUCUCCUCAUUGGACAGUGGGAGAGUGGGCGUGUCCUGCACCAUCCUCUUGAGGCAGCGCUGCGCCAGCGCGUAUUCAGGGUACAGCAGCUCCAGCAGC